AUUUAUUUUUCUUUUAGUGUUGAUUCCGUGAUGAAUAUGAGUUGAUAGAAUGUUGCAUUUUAUUUUUCUGCUCAAUCAUUGCAAUGUGAUAGCGUAAAUUUCAUUGCUUAUUCUCUCUUGCGAUUUAAUUAGUUCACACAUCUUGUUUUAGGACCGUUCGGGGUUUAUGUUUCCCAUAUCUCUUCCAGCAUUUUCAAUUCUGUUUAGUUAUGUUUAAUUUCCAUGCUUUAAUUCAGUUUAAUUAUCCUCUCAACAUUUUUCAACAACCCCCCCCACUUCGUGUCUGACCUAAUUCUCGAACCACAUUUGGUCCUUGAGAGACGACCUAGGAGUCAUUCCCUAGCUAUACUGCAUUUAUAUGCACAUCAAAUUUGCAUGGGCCACGACACCCAUCAAAUUUUGGCGCCAUUGCCGGGGACCAACGGUUCGGUUUUAGGUCUUUUGUUGUGUUAGUGUGUGUUGUUUUGUCUUGUGUUGUGAGUGUGAUGUUCUGUAUGUGUGUCGUCAUGUGUUGUUGCAUUUAGUAACUUUAGUUGCAUAUUUUCAUUGCAUUCUUCUUUCCCCCUUUCUUUCUACAUGUCUACCUAUUUUCAUUUUGUGAAUACUGCUUCUUCUACCUGUGUCUAUGAUUAUGAUUCUCCUUCUGGAUCUAACUCUGAUAUUACUUCUC
rnacentral:lncRNA from 1 species